GUAGGCAUACAUGCAGAUAGAAC
rnacentral:piRNA from 1 species